rnacentral:rRNA from 1 species
AUUGAACGCUGGCGGCAUGCCUUACACAUGCAAGUCGAACGGCAGCACGGGUGCUUGCACCUGGUGGCGAGUGGCGAACGGGUGAGUAAUACAUCGGAACGUACCUUAUCGUGGGGGAUAACGCAGCGAAAGUUGCGCUAAUACCGCAUACGCCCUGAGGGGGAAAGCGGGGGACCGUAAGGCCUCGCGCGAUUAGAGCGGCCGAUGUCUGAUUAGCUUGUUGGUGAGGUAAAAGCUCACCAAGGCGAUGAUCAGUAGCUGGUCUGAGAGGACGAUCAGCCACACUGGGACUGAGACACGGCCCAGACUCCCACGGGAGGCAGCAGUGGGGAAGUUUGGACAAUGGGGGCAACCCUGAUCCAGCAAUGCCGCGUGAGUGAAGAAGGCCUUCGGGUUGUAAAGCUCUUUUGUCAGGGAAGAAACAGCAGCUCUAACACAGUCUGCGAAUGACGGUACCUGAAGAAUAAGCACCGGCUAACUACGUGCCAGCAGCCGCCGUAA